rnacentral:rRNA from 1 species
GACGAACGCUGGCGGCGUGCUUAACACAUGCAAGUCGAACGAAGUGGCGAACGGGUGAGUAACGCGUAAUCAACCUGCCCUUCAGAGGGGGACAACAGUUGGAAACGACUGCUAAUACCGCAUACUGAAGGAGUGGAUUGCGUCUGAUUAGCUGGUUGGAGGGGUAACUGCCCACCAAGGCGAUGAUCAGUAGCGUGUCUGAGAGGAUGACCGGCUACAUUGGGACUGAGGAAGGGCCCAGACUCCUACGGGAGGCAGCAGUGGGGGAUCAUCCGCAAUGGACGAAAGUCUGACGGAGCAACGCCGCGUGAGUGAUGACGGCCUUCGGGUUGUAAAGCUCUGUUAAUCGGGACGCGGUACCGGAAUAGAAAGCCACGGCUAACUACGUGCCAGCCGCCGCGGUAAUAC